rnacentral:lncRNA from 1 species
CUACUUGAAGUGUUCCCAAAUCUAUGUAGAGUCAUCCUUGAAGGCUCCAUAUGCCAAUCUGUUAGCUGCAAAUUCUUCUGCAAUUCAUCCAAAACCGCCCUUCCACCAGCAUGGAUACAGAAAUGCUCGAAAGCAAGCUUGAAAUCAGGUAUGUAUGGCUUAACUUUGGCUUUGAAAAUCUUCUUUCGAACAAGAGUAACAAAGAACAUGAACUGCUCUGUCCAGGGUAAAACAAGGGGACCCAGAGUGGUAAUAUUGGUUUUCAAUGCGUCUCCAGCUACAGCCAUUAGUUCACGAGCCAAAGAAACCCCAACGGUUCCUUUCUCAUCCUCUCUUUGGUAGACGCAGUUGUAAUGUUUGUCGUCCGCGCCUUU